GCCGGGGAUCUUCGGACCUGGCGCUUGGAGAGGGACCCGCUGGCUGAUUAGCUUGUUGGUGGGGUAACGGCCUACCAAGGCAAUGAUCAGUAGCCGGCCUGAGAGGGUGAUCGGUCACACUGGAACUGAUGACACGGUCCAGACUCCUACGGGAGGCAGCAGUGAGGAAUUUUGCGCAAUGGGCGAAAGCCUGACGCAGCGACGCCGCGUGGACGAUGAAGGCCUUCGGGUCG
rnacentral:rRNA from 1 species